GACGAACGCUGGCGGCGUGCUUAACACAUGCAAGUCGAACGAAGUGACGAACGGGGGCGUAAUACGUGGAUAACCUGCCCUCCUUUAUGGGAUAAGCCUUGGAAACGGGGUCUAAUAAAGAAUACACGGGGAUGGGCUCGCGGCCUAUCAGCUUGUUGGUGGGGGGAUGGCAGACCAAGGCGGUGCAGGGUAGCGGGGCUUAGAGGGGGACCGGACCCAGUGGGACUGAGAGACGGCCCAGACUCCUACGGGAGGCAGCAGUGGGGGAUAGUGCACAAUGGGCGAAAGCCUGAUGCAGCGACGCCGCGUGGGGGAUGAAGGCGUUCGGGUUGUAAACCUCUGUCGAUAUCGAACGGGUAGGUGGAGAGGAAGCGACGGCUAACUACGUGCCAGCAGCCGCGGUAAUUC
rnacentral:rRNA from 1 species